rnacentral:rRNA from 1 species
AUUCUGGUUGAUCCUGCCAGAGGCUAUUGCUAUCAGGGUUUGACUAAGCCAUGCGAGUCGAGAGGUGAAAGACCUCGGCAUACUGCUCAGUAACACGUGGAUAAUCUGCCCUCAGAAGAAGAAUAAUCCCGGGAAA